UUAAGCCAAAUUCUAUAUGGGGCAUUCCACGCCAAAUCGACCACUUUUGACCCUGACCCCUUUUGAUUUGGCUGAAAGUUUACCAUCCUUUUCUACCCUAUCAAAAAUGUCUCUCAUAAUUUUUUCAAAUUUUUUUACCCAACCAAAAAAAAGUU